rnacentral:tRNA from 1 species
GCGAGGAUGGCGAAAUUGGUAGACGCACCAGCCUUAGGAGCUGGCGGUUAACACCGUGGGGGUUCGAGUCCCCCUCCUCGCA